GCUUGCACUUUGAUGACGAGUGGCGCACGGGUGCGUAACGCGUAUAGAACCUACCCUGUACAGGGGGAUAGCCCAGAGAAAUUUGGAUUAAUACCCCGUGGUAACUAUAAAUGGCAUCAUUUAUAGUUUAAAGUUUUCGGACGGUACAGGAUGGCUAUGCGUCCUAUUAGUUAGGUGGUGAGGUAACGGCCCACCAUGGCAUCGAUAGGUAGGGGCCCUGAGAGGGGGAUCCCCCACACUGGUACUGACACACGGACCAGACUCCUACGGGAGGCAGCAGUGAGGAAUAUUGGACAAUGGGCGUAAGCCUGAUCCAGCCAUGCCGCGUGCAGGAAGACGGCCCUAUGGGUUGUAAACUGCUUUUAUACGGGAAGAAUAAGGGACACGAGUGUCCUGGUGACGGUACCG
rnacentral:rRNA from 1 species